rnacentral:antisense_RNA from 1 species
GUCGGAGGAGGCGAGGUUUUCCGGGGUGCCGUAGGCUGUCUCGAAAAACUGGUCGAAAGCCUGUGGCAGGACGCCGUUCCUGCCCACGGUGCUAUAGAAAUUGGACGAGACGGCGGGGGUGGGGUGGUGGUAGACGUUGGCCGAGCUCUUGGCCAGCACGUCGCCAGGCACGCCGGCCGCGCUGGGCGCCUGCAGGCAGUCUCUGUGCACGAGCUCCUCCGCGGAGUAGCAGUGGGCCAGAUUGCCGCGGGGGUGCCAUUUAGUGGCGGGCUCAAUGGCGUACUCUCUGAAGGUCACUUCGCGCACGGGUUGGACCUGGGGCAGGUUGGAGGAGUAGGAGUAUGUCAUUGGGCGCGAAGACGGGGUCUGGGGCAGAAAAGAAGGGAGGCUGGAGAAAUCUGGACCCGAGACGUAGUAAGUACAACUUGGCAAAUACAUGUUAGAGGAGCAGGGACCACGCUCAUCAAAAUCCAUCAUUGGGCUACCUUGGGCUCUCCGCAGUAGCCGAGCUUAACAUGAUUCUCCACUGCAGCUGCCUCUUUGAAGCGGAUCCGUGAAGUAGAAAUUUGGAGACCCACCUCAGGGGAAGCAACAGAUCGUCACUCGGUGUUCUCACCGAAAGCACGUAAUCGCCGGUGUAACUCAUGUUGGCUGGGGGGGCCUCCCGGCGCGCGGAGAGGCUGGGGUGCGCCCCCAUGCAGCAUGCUUGUGCUCAAUUGCAGGGUCCUCGUUCUCGAGUGUGCAGAGGGCGGUGAGAGCUCAACUCUCGUCCCCACCUCCCACCCGCAGCUCCUCACCCGACUUGCUCUGGGAAGCGCUUCUGCCUCCGACCCUAGCCGGAACCCCUUCGGGGCCAGAGUUUGAAGCCGUGGAUGUGCCUGCCUCGUGGCUUGUCCGAUUUGCACGGUGACUUGAUUACACUUUCUCAUUCAUGGUUACUUCCGAAGCGCUUUAGUGCUUUCCGUCCCUAAACCGCCAACAGCCAGAACGGCUUCUCCCCGCGUGACUCGGCAGAGACAGAGGCACAGGGGCUGCCCUGCUGCUCACCGGUCCACCCAUCUGCCUGGUCUUCUGGAGCUGAGGACUCGGGAAACCAUGCAAUUGAGGCAAGCCUUGGGCUGCUUUAGAGGCGCUGACAUCCGAGGAGCCUUCUCCUGGGAGGUCCAACAGCCGAGCUUAGCCCACCGGGCUCUGGGAAAGACCCGACUGAAGCCAAAGCCGCCCCGGAAGGCCAAGUCCGAGUUCCAUUUCUUGAAGAGGCCGGAGCGGGUAAGGCUGUGACAUUGGCCCUGGCGACUGGCUUCCCAGGAGCUGUUCUUUCUCAGGAGCUCCACAGCGCGGUCCAUCUCCAGAAAACUGUCUUCAGAGUGUAUUUCCUUUUAUCGUCAACCCAGAGCCCCACCGCGGCUAAUGCAAGAGGCCAAAAAAUGUUUGGAGGAAGAAAAACAAAGGCAGGAAGUGGCGGCGGCCUGACGGUGCGUGUGUGUCUGCGGAGAAGGGAGGGAGCCGGUUCAGUCUCUUCUUGUUUUUCCAAACUUCAAGGUCCAGGCAGCCCUCUGCAGGGCCGGGCCCCAUCGCUCCCCGCGCAGCCUUGGAGGUGGCCACCCGGAGAGGAGAAGGCCAACGCCCGCGCCAGGCUUGUCAGGCGGAAACGGCUAACAAGGAGAUUUGGUCAGCAAAACAGACCGAGCCUUUCCGAGGCUUCGUCUGACUUGGCCCGAAAGG